CUCUUUGGGGGGUAAGACAGGAAGGGGAGAUGGGCCUCAAGUUGUUACCUUAAAAGGGCCGAUGGAAGCAAAGAGAAGAGGAAGUGGUUGUCGGGGUGAGAGCUGGGCCCGCGCCCCGCACGGCUGUCAAACAGGAAGCCCUGCUGAAGCAGCUGUCCCCGGAAGAAGCCAUUUCCAAACCUCUGCUCCUGCCUGGGGCCAGUUAAGACAGGCUCCCUGGCCCCUCUCCUUUUGGGAGGACCCACCCCUGCAGCCCCACCACUCACACUUGCUCUCUGGGGAGCCGCCCCCACCCCCACCCCCAGCCCCCAUACACCUGUCCUGGCUCCAGGGCCAGUUGUGCCCAUGGAAGCCUCACUUGGGGAAGCUGGGGUGGGGGUGCCAACUCUAAGGGCAGAGACAGACUGAGACAGAGACCGGCAGGAACUCCACCAGGGUCUUGCACAGCCCCCAACCUCUGCCAUGCGUGGCCAGCCCUCCUGGGGUUUGCCCAGGCCAUUUUGGGGCUGGAACAAGAGAAGAACAACCCGACCCCUGCCCCUACCCUAGGCCCUGGUCCAGCUCCCAGGGACACCACAGCUUUCUUCUCUGGGCCUCUCUGAAGGAGGUGUGGGGAGGUUGGAUUGGGUUUGGGGGGAAAAGCACCUACAUCCAAGGCCCUGCUGUGCCUUUAGACUGGACGUGUAGACAAGAAUGCGCCCACGGUCUGUGGCCACACAGCCCCUGUGCUAGACAUCGCCUGGUGCCCGCACAAUGACAACGUCAUUGCCAGUGGCUCCGAGGACUGCACAGUCAUGGUGUGGGAGAUCCCGGAUGGGGGCCUGAUGUUGCCCCUGCGGGAGCCUGUCGUCACCCUGGAGGGCCACACCAAGCGUGUAGGCAUUGUGGCCUGGCACCCCACAGCCCAGAACGUGCUGCUCAGUGCAGGUGCUGCGGGAGGAGGGGCCUGGGGGUGGCUGGUGGCCUGCACUGGAUAAGAGCAGGAGGCUCAUGGCUUCUGACACUGUGGGGAACGUGCAGGUUGUGACAACGUGAUCAUGGUGUGGGACGUGGGCACUGGGGCGGCCAUGCUGACGCUGGGCCCAGAGGUGCACCCAGACACGAUCUACAGUGUGGACUGGAGCCGAGACGGAGGCCUCAUUUGUACCUCCUGCCGUGACAAGCGCGUGCGCAUCAUCGAGCCCCGCAAAGGCACUGUUGUAGCUGAGAAGGAUCGUCCCCACGAGGGGACCCGGCCCGUGCGUGCAGUGUUCGUGUCGGAGGGGAAGAUCCUGACCACGGGCUUCAGCCGCAUGAGUGAGCGGCAGGUGGCGCUGUGGGACACAGUGAGUGCUGGGGCAGGAAGCUGAGGGCCCCCAGGCUGGGAACCAAGACUGGAGGUUUCCUCCCUGCUCUGCCACUCACCUGGCAGGAUGGCCACGGGCCUCAGUUUACCCAGGCGUGAGAUGGGUGUUCCCACUGGUUGGUUGGGAGGGCCCUCACAGGUCACUGCCCAGGGAAGACCACCAUCCCAGGGCCUGGGAUGUUACCUCUCACCUGUGUCUACAGAAGCACCUGGAGGAGCCGCUGUCCCUGCAGGAGCUGGACACCAGCAGCGGUGUCCUGCUGCCCUUCUUUGACCCUGACACCAACAUCGUCUACCUCUGUGGCAAGGUGGCCUCGUCAGGCAGGGUGGGGGUGGGAGGUGGGCAGGAUGGGCCUGGAGAGGGCCAGGGCAGCGGGCAUCUGCUGGUAUUGACCCUCCCUCUGCACCUGCCACCUACAGGGUGACAGCUCUAUCCGGUACUUUGAGAUCACUUCCGAGGCCCCGUUCCUGCACUAUCUCUCCAUGUUCAGUUCCAAGGAGUCCCAGCGGGGCAUGGGCUACAUGCCCAAACGUGGGCUGGAGGUGAACAAGUGUGAGAUCGCCAGGUGACUGACCCCCGGCCCUGACCGCAGCAUGCCCCUUAGGCAGUUCCAAGCCUGCCCAACCAGACUGUGGGCCCCGCUCACCUUCCCCUUCCCACAGGUUCUACAAGCUGCACGAGCGGAGGUGUGAGCCCAUUGCCAUGACAGUGCCUCGAAAGGUGAUGCUCCCCCGCCCCACCCUGGGCUCCAGGCUGGGCACUGACUUUGCAGUCUUGCAGGGGGAUGUCCUGGCAUAAGUGCUUUCCUCACUAUCCUUGGCCUUGCCUACAGUCGGACCUGUUCCAGGAGGACCUGUACCCACCCACCGCAGGGCCUGACCCUGCCCUCACGGCUGAGGAGUGGCUGGGGGGUCGGGAUGCUGGGCCCCUCCUCAUCUCCCUCAAGGAUGGCUACGUACCCCCAAAGAGCCGGGAGCUGAGGGUCAACCGGGGCCUGGACACUGGGCGCAGGAGGGCAGCACCAGAGGCCAGUGGCACUCCCAGCUCGGUGAGAGGGCCAGGAAGCCAAGGAAUAAAACUGGGAGGGUGGGGUGGGGCUGGCAUUUGGGGCAGCUCAAACUCACAACAUUGGGAAUCUUUGCGGGGCUGGGAGUGGUAAUCCUGAGGCCUCAGAACACAGGUUUCAGACUGGUAGGCCUGCAGGUCUCCAGGCAGCAACCAGCUGAGCAACUAAAGGGCCCAAGGCCAGGGCUCUAGGGAUGGGGCUCAGCAGAUGCUGGGGCAAGGGGAGCCAGGGAGGAGCUGGGCCUAAUGCAGCACCGCGUCCCCAGGAUGCCAUGUCCCGGCUGGAGGAGGAGAUGCGGAAGCUCCAGGCCACGGUGCAGGAGCUCCAGAAGCGCUUGGACAGGCUGGAGGAGACAGUCCAGGCCAAGUAGAGCCCCACAGGGACUUCAGCAGGGUCAGCCAUUCACACCCAUCCACUCACUUCCCAUUCCCAGCCACAUGGCAGAGAAAAAAAUCAUAAUAAAAUGGCUUUAUUUUCUGGU
rnacentral:sRNA from 1 species